CCCAUUAUUUUAUAUUUUCAUUUUUAUUGAUUAAUAUUUUUUUUUGAGAGAACAAGAUAGUUAUUUAAACAACCAUAUAACCAUUCGGCCACAUUAGUCUUUCAUGAUUAAUAUCUAUAUAUAUAUAAAAAUGUUUGCCUCCCUCCUGGUGAUGCCACAUCAGAUUCCAGCUAGAUAAGUAGUCUCAUGUAAACGUGACACGUGGCAUAAGAGUCGAUCCGCUGUGUUUCAUUAAACGUCUGUCGUCUCUCCUUCCACCGCCUUAACUUGGCCGAGUAACUGCUGUCGGUAACGCAUUUCAGUGAAUUCACCCCAUUAAAGUUGGAUUAUUUGGCUUCACUUUCAAGCUAAGUUGCUAUAUAUAUAAUGGCCCUCUUAUGUGGAUGAAACUCAAAGUCUUUUGCAUCUACUUAUCACACGAUAUCUCCCUCCAUCUCUUUCUACAUGUUAAAUCGUUUUAACUAUGCUGAUUUACAGGAUACAAGGCUGGGAGCCAUAACCAUGGACUCCAUCAGAUCUGACUCCAUCAGACAGAUGUACCGAGCAUCUCCCGGUUUCAGUGACUCUUGCUUGGCUCAACAAUGGCGGCAGUGAAGAUGGUAGAUUCUUGCUUGGCUCAACGGCGGCGGCUGGAGCAUGGUGAAUCAAGAGUAGUUAGAGCUGAAGGACGGGUUUGCUUGAAGCGCCGACGGUACGAUGACAAAACUGGAUCUCGGUGGAACACCAAUCACCAAUGGAAACGUCACCGGAAUAAUAUAUAUUUAUGCAUCUGAAGGACGGGUUUGCUUUACAUUUUUUUGUUUUAAAUGCGGAUUCGUUUUGAUAUGUGUUUGAAUAUACCGAGUAAUAAUUCACUAACCUCGAUUAUGUAAUUAUAAUGAUUUAUGCGGAGGGUGUGAUUUGAGGCGUAAUUAUCGUAUAAAUUUAAUUCCUGAUUAA